CACAGGCCUCCUUCCUGAUACCAGCAUUCUGAGGGACUGGGGAGAGCAACUGUACAAGACCUAGGUGUUUACUAGAGGAGGCUGCAGCACAUUAGCCCUCCCUGAGCUGCUCACCUGGGCUGCCCUUUACGUAGAGGAUACAUGCUGUGGGGUUGAGCUCUCUGCAGCUCACUGCCUCCUUCACUUCUUCAGGGCUGGUGACCUCACUGUCAGAGAGCUGGUACAACCUCCUGCUGGACAUGCAGAAUCGACUCAAUAAAGUCAUCAAAAGUGUGGGGAAGAUCGAGCACUCCUUAUAUCCUUCCCAGAGCCAUCCCCUUGCUGGGAAGCACAUCCCGUUAUAUGUGGCACACGGAGUCACAUUACCCGGAAGCUACUACAUGUCUUGAUUAGGUUCCUGUACAGAACAGGUUUUUAGUUUUGUUUUGUUUUUGACUUUUUCAUGUGGAAAAUUUCAAACAUACACAGUAGAACAGUAUAUUGACUCCCAAAGUACUUAUCACCUAGCUUCCGCUGGUCCAUCUUGGAAAUGUACAUUUAUAUUCCUGAACUGUGUCCGCCUCUGGCCCUCUCGGUGUAGCAGGCCAAAUGUGAAUUUAGAUCACAACACAGGAGCACAUCCUUUCAGGGAUUUGGUUGAGGGCAACAGUGUCUGAGACUAGAGAGACUACCAGAAGAAAGGGAAAGGUGAAGAAGCGGAAAACACUGAAAGAAUCUGCCACCCUGGGACCCCCAGAAUCCAAGUGCUAUUGGAAGUUUGUGUAGUACAGGAGAUAUAAAGGGCCCUCCCCGCCCCCCUGGAGGUGGGAGGAGCUCCUGUCUGUGACUCUGGCCCUGCUCUAGCCAAGGGGGGCUGAUGGGCUGGUUUAUUGGUUUUUUGCUAACAAGACUUUUGGCAGCCUUGUCUCACUGAGUCUCAGUUUAUUCAUCAACGGAGCUGCUGCUUUUAUUCUUCUUCUUUUUUUGUUUUAAUUGGAGGUGGGUUCUUGCUCUGUUGUCCAGGCUAGAGUGCAGUGACAUGAUCAUGGCUCACUGCAGCCUUGACAUCCUGGGCUCAAGUGAUUCUCCCAUCUCAGCCUCCCGAAUAGCUGGGACUGUAAGCACGUGUCAGCUCACCUGGCUAAUUAAAAAAAAUUUUGUUUUUUGUAGAGACAGGAGUUGAUGAUGUUGCCCAGGUUUGGUCUUGAACUUCUGGACUCAAACGAUCCCCCUGCCUCAACCUCCCAAAGUGUUGGGUUCACAGGCAUGAGCCACCACCACACUGACCCCUCUAUGGAGCUUUGACGCUAGACUUAGGUGGUUCUUGUGCAUCAGCUUUGCCUAGAGCACUUUUAAAGAACUUCCAUACACAUACGGGCUUCACAUUAAUAGACUCUGAUCUGUACUUUUAAAAACUAUUUUGAAGAUCACCCCAAUUGAGAACCAAUUAGAUUAGGUCAUAUUUUUACAUUUUUUUCAAUUCCAAAAAUGUCCAAAUAAAAGCAAGGCGAAAGGAAGUGUUAUUUCCUUUCUAAUCCUGAUGAUUGCUUUAGAUUGUGGUCUUAUUCAAAGGUGGGGAUGACUGAGGAGGGUGUUUCCUGAUAAGCACAUGUUCCUUAACUCACCCAUCCACCUGGAGAUCCUUUCACACCGAGCGGAAGACAGAACCAGCCACAGGUUUCAUUGACGGUGACUUGAUUGAGAGUUUCCUGGAUAUUAGCCGCCCCAAGAUGCAGGAGGUGGUGGCAAACCUACAGUAUGACGAUGGCAGCGGUAUGAAGCGAGAGGCCACUGCAGACGACCUCAUCAAGGUUGUGGAGGAGCUAACUCGGAUCCAUUAGCCAAGGGCAGGGGGCCCCUUUUCUGACCCUCCCCCAAAGGCUUUGCCCUGCUGCCCUUCCCCUCCUCUCCACCAUCGUCUUCUUGGCCAUGGGAGGCCUUUCCCUAAGCCAGCUGCCCCCAGAGCCACAGUUCCCCUAUGUGGAAGUGGGGCGGGCUUCAUAGAGACUUGGGAAUGAGCUGAAGGUGAAACAUUUUCUCCCUGGAUUUUUACCAGUCUCACAUGAUUCCAGCCAUCACCUUAGACCACCAAGCCUUGAUUGGUGUUGCCAGUUGUCCUCCUUCCAGGGAGGGAUUUUGCAGUUCUUUGGCUGAAAGGAAGCUGUGCGUGUCUGUGUGUGUAUGUGUGUGUGUGUGUAUGUGUAUCUCACACUCAUGCAUUGUCCUCUUUUUAUUUAGAUUGGCAGUGUAGGGAGUUGUGGGUAGUGGGGAAGAGGGUUAGGAGGGUUUCAUUGUCUGU
rnacentral:sRNA from 1 species